AGGAGGAACAACUCCAGUGGUGGCGGCCAGCCCUGGAGCCGUGAAUUCAACUCACACAUUAACUACAGAGCUCUCAGUCUGCAGGGCUGGAGGCUCCGGGAUGGG
rnacentral:pre_miRNA from 1 species